GGAGUGCUUGGAUGAGCUGUGCAGGAGACAGGGAGCUCGGGAUUGCAGCUGCUGCUGGAACCAUUGCCUUAGGUCUGCUUAGUCAGUGUCUGUGUGAAGUGGGAUUUGCGCUGGAGAGGUGCUGUCGGGAACAAAGGACGGAGUAAAUCCUCUCCGGGGAUGCGCAGGGAGGGACUGAGUUGCAGGGAAGGAGAGUAUUUCUAAGCCGUAUCAAUAUUUCCCUGAAACUGGGGCUGGAGCAGUGAGGGGGGUGCUUGGGUUUGGCCUGGGCCUGUCAGGAAGAGCCAUAAACGAGCCAGCCGAGGCCCUGAACCCUCCCUGGAUAUUUGAAACACUUCCACAGAAAGCCAAGGCAGUCACGAUUGCAGAGGACAAAUUGUAGGCGACUGCUUACGAUCCGUGGGGAAUUUCCUUUGGAAUUACAAGUCAGAGAGUGCAUGCAAGCAGAGCACAUCUUUUGGCUUUUUCCGGUCUGUCAUCUCCUGUCUGGCUCUAGAGAGUUUUGUGCGCUCCCGUUCAGGAGGCAGCGUGUUUUCAGCUGGAAAUUUGGGGUGGUUUUGUUUCCUCAGGGUCUGGGGUCUUUCCUGAGAGAAUCAGCCCUCCCAUAAAUCCCCCGGGUUGUUCUACACAGCUGCUUUGGCCAUGGGUCAGAGAGAGAGAAGGGAAAUGACUUUUUAGGGCGUUGAAAUUUCUCCAGGCAGGAGUGGGACGUCGUCUUGCCCCUCCCCAGAGCCCUGCAGGCGCAUGGGAGUAGCUCAGUGCCGGCGCAGCUCUCUGAGCAAUAACAACGCUUGGGAGGUUCGAGUGUUGAUAACAGCUCUCCUGUCUCCUGGGGCCCAAGGUUCGGUCUCACGGUCCCGGACCGGUGAGGGAGAAAAGGAACUUGUGCUAUUCCUGGAAAAGCUUCUGUUAUUCCUUGUGCAGCCUUUUAAUUCUGUGUUCUGAUGGACUGUCCGCUGUCUUUCUAACGAGACUUGUCAGAGAUUCAGAUUUAGGAAUUGAGUUUGGGUCCGUUCACUUCAGGAUCUUGCCAAGCCUGAAGGCCUGGGGCGAUGACUGCUCUCAGCGAGGGCUCUUUAUGAAUCCUCUGUCAGAUUUCCCUCAGUGCUGGGCAGGAAAGGUGCUGGAAUUGCCUGUCUGGACGUGUGCUGAGCUCUCGCUGCUGUGGACUGUGCAGCCUUAAUUGCUGCAGGUUCCUGUUCUUCUCACCAGCUCAAAGUACACGUGGGGUUUUUUCCCCUUCUAUAUAGAGCUGUUGAGUUUGGUGAUUUUCCUGAAUUGAGGAUACUGAAGGUCGAGAAGGAAGAUUUGUCUCUUUUUGUGCUUUUCUGUUGUUAUUUUUAGCACCUGCUCACCAUCUGGACAUGGUUGGAAUACUGGAAACAUAAAAGUUUUUAGAUUCAGUGCUUAUUUAUGCAAACCCAGUUUUUUUACCUUUUUUUUUUUUUUUUUUUUUUUUUUUUUUUUUUGGAAAGGUCUGCAUUUGUCUGCGCACUGUUCCUGGUAUUUUGAUGUAGAAAAGGUCAUGUGAACAGCAGGGAGCAGUGAGCACUUGGAAGGGGGGGUGCAGGUCACCGGCGAGCCUGGGACAAGACCUGAGCCAGAACUUGUUGGGCCCUUGCAGAGAGAGAAGCAGUAAAUGGUGUUGGAGAGUUUUUGGGAGUGCUGUCGGUCCCCGAGGCGGCUUCGGAUCUCCGCGGUCACCGACGCUGCCGAUUUUCCCGGCGCGCGCCGUUCGACGUCGAGGAGCGGCAUCCAGAGGCUGUGUCGGAGCAUCUUCCUGGCUGGAAUGUUUUGAGUAAGGGCUGCAGUCAGGGUGUAAGCUGAAGGGUGUGUGACUGUGUGUGUGUGUGACUGUGUCUGUCUGCCUGCGAGAAGAGUGCGGGUGUGGAAUGGUUCUGACCUUGUGUGUGGGAGUUUUGCCUUUCAGCUACUUUUUAAACUUAGAGUAAAAACAACCCAGCUGCGCUGGCUGGGGAUUUUUUCCCUCCCGGCUGGGUUUUUUUAUCUGGGACCUGGCCGGUCUGUGAGGUGCCGUUCAUCGCCAGGGUUUGGGUGCCGACCGUGCCGGGGAUUUGUCAGGCGGGAUGAUUUUGGGGCUCCCGGGAACCGCGUUCCCAUGGGGUGCUCUCGAGACGAGAGCGAGGGUGGGUUUGUGUGUCAGCUGAAGGAGGUGUGUGGUGGAUGAGUGUUUUCUUCUCCGUGUGCUGCUGUUGUUUUGGGUUUCCUGGAACAAUAAAAUGUCCUAAAUUUUCCAGAAAUAGAACAAUUGUUACAUUGUACUGAUAGGGGGUUGGCUUGUGUUGCUCUGUGUUCGUGUUUGCUGCUGCACUUGCACAUAUUGCUCUGUAUGUCAGUUGGACUUUGACCAGUGUGCAUAUGGAUUGUACUUGUGCUUGUGUACAUUGUUGUUUCCACUUGCUUUGCUGAAGUGUAAAUAAAAAACCCUCGUUCA